rnacentral:tRNA from 1 species
GGAAAGGUGGCAGAGCGGUUGAAUGCAUCAGUUUUGAAAACUGUCGUAAUGACUUCAUUACCGGGGGUUCGAAUCCCCCCCUUUCCU